UUUAAAAGCGGUCAUGAGUUUCCGUGUUUAUUUUUUAUUACCGUCUUAUUUAAAAUUUUUUAUGAUUAAUAUAUUUUUAUUAUUAAAUGAUAAAAUAUGAAUAGUAAUUUAUAAGUUACUUUAUGUUUUUUUAGCUUUUAUUUUUUAAAAAUAAAAUAGACGAUUAAAGUUAUACACAGAUACUCGUGACUGCGUUUAAA
rnacentral:pre_miRNA from 1 species